CGUGCCUAAUACAUGCAAGUCGAGCGGACAGAUGGGAGCUUGCUCCCUGAUGUUAGCGGCGGACGGGUGAGUAACACGUGGGUAACCUGCCUGUAAGACUGGGAUAACUCCGGGAAACCGGGGCUAAUACCGGAUGGUUGUUUGAACCGCAUGGUUCAAACAUAAAAGGUGGCUUCGGCUACCACUUACAGAUGGACCCGCGGCGCAUUAGCUAGUUGGUGAGGUAACGGCUCACCAAGGCGACGAUGCGUAGCCGACCUGAGAGGGUGAUCGGCCACACUGGGACUGAGACACGGCCCAGACUCCUACGGGAGGCAGCAGUAGGGAAUCUUCCGCAAUGGACGAAAGUCUGACGGAGCAACGCCGCGUGAGUGAUGAAGGUUUUCGGAUCGUAAAGCUCUGUUGUUAGGGAAGAACAAGUACCGUUCGAAUAGGGCGGUACCUUGACGGUACCUAACCAGAAAGCCACGGCUAACUACGUGCCAGCAGCCGCGGUAAUACGUAGGUGGCAAGCGUUGUCCGGAAUUAUUGGGCGUAAAGGGCUCGCAGGCGGUUUCUUAAGUCUGAUGUGAAAGCCCCCGGCUCAACCGGGGAGGGUCAUUGGAAACUGGGGAACUUGAGUGCAGAAGAGGAGAGUGGAAUUCCACGUGUAGCGGUGAAAUGCGUAGAGAUGUGGAGGAACACCAGUGGCGAAGGCGACUCUCUGGUCUGUAACUGACGCUGAGGAGCGAAAGCGUGGGGAGCGAACAGGAUUAGAUACCCUGGUAGUCCACGCCGUAAACGAUGAGUGCUAAGUGUUAGGGGGUUUCCGCCCCUUAGUGCUGCAGCUAACGCAUUAAGCACUCCGCCUGGGGAGUACGGUCGCAAGACUGAAACUCAAAGGAAUUGACGGGGGCCCGCACAAGCGGUGGAGCAUGUGGUUUAAUUCGAAGCAACGCGAAGAACCUUACCAGGUCUUGACAUCCUCUGACAAUCCUAGAGAUAGGACGUCCCCUUCGGGGGCAGAGUGACAGGUGGUGCAUGGUUGUCGUCAGCUCGUGUCGUGAGAUGUUGGGUUAAGUCCCGCAACGAGCGCAACCCUUGAUCUUAGUUGCCAGCAUUCAGUUGGGCACUCUAAGGUGACUGCCGGUGACAAACCGGAGGAAGGUGGGGAUGACGUCAAAUCAUCAUGCCCCUUAUGACCUGGGCUACACACGUGCUACAAUGGACAG
rnacentral:rRNA from 1 species